rnacentral:rRNA from 1 species
AGAGUUUGAUCAUGGCUCAGAUUGAACGCUGGCGGCAUGCUUUACACAUGCAAGUCGAACGGCAGCGCGGGGCAACCUGGCGGCGAGUGGCGAACGGGUGAGUAAUAUAUCGGAACGUACCCAAGAGUGGGGGAUAACGUAGCGAAAGUUACGCUAAUACCGCAUACGAUCUAAGGAUGAAAGUGGGGGACCGCAAGGCCUCACGCUCCUGGAGCGGCCGAUAUCUGAUUAGCUAGUUGGUGAGGUAAUGGCUCACCAAGGCGACGAUCAGUAGCUGGUCUGAGAGGACGACCAGCCACACUGGAACUGAGACACGGUCCAGACUCCUACGGGAGGCAGCAGUGGGGAAUUUUGGACAAUGGGCGCAAGCCUGAUCCAGCAAUGCCGCGUGAGUGAAGAAGGCCUUCGGGUUGUAAAGCUCUUUUGUCAGGGAAGAAACGGCUCAAGCUAAUAUCUUGGGCUAAUGACGGUACCUGAAGAAUAAGCACCGGCUAACUACGUGCCAGCAGCCGCGGUAAUACGUAGGGUGCAAGCGUUAAUCGGAAUUACUGGGCGUAAAGCGUGCGCAGGCGGUUUUGUAAGUCUGUCGUGAAAUCCCCGGGCUUAACCUGGGAAUUGCGAUGGAGACUGCAAGGCUAGAAUCUGGCAGAGGGGGGUAGAAUUCCACGUGUAGCAGUGAAAUGCGUAGAGAUGUGGAGGAACACCGAUGGCGAAGGCAGCCCCCUGGGUCAAGAUUGACGCUCAUGCACGAAAGCGUGGGGAGCAAACAGGAUUAGAUACCCUGGUAGUCCACGCCCUAAACGAUGUCUACUAGUUGUCGGGUCUUAAUUGACUUGGUAACGCAGCUAACGCGUGAAGUAGACCGCCUGGGGAGUACGGUCGCAAGAUUAAAACUCAAAGGAAUUGACGG